GUGCCAGCCGCUGCGGUAAUACGUAGGUGGCAAGCGUUAUCCGGAUUUACUGGGUGUAAAGGGCGUGUAGGCGGGUUUGCAAGUUGGGUGUGAAAACUCUAGGCUUAACCUGGAGAUGUCAUCCAAAACUGCAGAUCUUGAGUGUUGGAGAGGAAAGCGGAAUUCCUAGUGUAGCGGUAAAAUGCGUAGAGAUUAGGAAGAACACCGGUGGCGAAGGCGGCUUUCUGGACAAUAACUGACGCUGAAACGCGAAAGCGGUGGGAGCAAACAGGAUUAGAUACCCU
rnacentral:rRNA from 1 species